CCUACGGGGGGCAGCAGUGGGGAAUAUUGGACAAUGGGGGCAACCCUGAUCCAGCCAUGCCGCGUGUGUGAAGAAGGCCCUCGGGUUGUAAAGCACUUUCAGUGAGGAAGAACGCCUGGUGGUUAAUACCCAUCAGGAAAGACAUCACUCACAGAAGAAGCACCGGCUAACUCCGUGCCAGCAGCCGCGGUAAUACGGAGGGUGCGAGCGUUAAUCGGAAUUACUGGGCGUAAAGCGCGCGUAGGUGGCUUGAUAAGCCGGUUGUGAAAGCCCCGGGCUCAACCUGGGAACGGCAUCCGGAACUGUCAAGCUAGAGGGCAGGAGAGGAAGGUAGAAUUCCCGGGGGAGCGGUGAAAUGCGUAGAGAUCGGGAGGAAUACCAGGGGCGAAGGCGGCCUUCUGGACUGACACUGACACUGAGGUGCGAAAGCGUGGGUAGCAAACAGGAUUAGAUACCCUGGUUAGUC
rnacentral:rRNA from 1 species